CAAGAGACGAUGAGGUCAAGAAAAACAAAAUGGUCUACUUGAUGGUGCAGAGGGAUUAAGAUCACUAGAAAGCAGCAUGUUGCUAGACCACCGCAGGACCCUAGAAGCCACUGCAUGCUGUGACAAGGGGUUGGAUGGUGGAACACAUCUGCUUCAAGCUGCCUGACUGAAUACCGGGGCCUUUAGUGAUACCUUUGAUUGCAGCAAGAGCCUCCAUCUCUGUCUCAUAGCCAUUUAACAUGGACUGUAUGUAACAACUCAAAUUCAUACCAACUGCUUCAAACACAAGAACUGACUUUAUAUUCACUUGUCCCUGGCUGUGUAGACUGGUAGCCCAAUUCUGAUCAUUUUUCCUCUAAUUGGUCUUUUGACCAAUCACAUCAGAUAGGUUAAAAUACAAAUUAGUGGGGGACAAAAAGAUCAGAAUUGGGCUACCAGUCUACACGUAGCCUAUUUGUCUUAUUCUUCAGUCUUGUGUAGUGUACCGUUUAAAAAAAAUAUUGCAUAAGCAAACUGUCAUGCCUUUUCACCAGAAAAUGUAUGAAGACAGAUAAGAGACGAUUACAUAGAUGGUUUUGGUUUUCUUUACCUCCUCCUCACUUGCUUAUGUGGGUAGUUACUUCCUGAUGAUUGAUGGAACAAUCCAGCCAAUGGUUAGGCAGCUGUGGUUUUGGCAGAGGGAAUUGAUUGGUCAGGAGUAAAAGGUCAUUUCUCCAGAGUGCAAAUCAAGAUUUUACUUGCAAAUUUCUUCCUACAAAUUGCCAAAACUUUCUACAGUGUGACAGAACUCUGAGCAUGCGCAGAUUCAAAAUCUGCAUGUGUAUUUUUGAUUCAUAGCAGAAUAUUUAUAGUUGUAAAUGGACUUAAUAUGUUUGCAAAUCUUAUUGAAUGUAUUCAAAUGUCAUGUUACAAGUUUGCAACUGUUGUUAAAUCAUGAUACAAGCUUGUGAAAUUAAAACAAUUUCC